CGAAGACUGAAGUAUUAGCUUUGGAGUUUUACAUUUUACACAUGACGUAGACGCUGCAUCACAAGCGGCGUGGUCAGAUCUCUUAGAGCAAAAUUGCUAUCAGGAGAAGUCAGUGUCAGACGGUGCCAGCAAAGAUUAAGAUAUAGUCCUGAUCAUAGUAUCAGAGUUCCUGAUUGUGCCUGUAUAGUUACACUUAGUAAGAGCAGCAGUACUUAGUAACACCUUAUAGCACCGGACACCCAGAAGCCCCGGAAACCGAGUAGCACCGAACUCCGAGUAGCACCUUGCACCGAGAAGCACCGAUCCUCUCCGAGUUCCGUGGAAGUUCUAGUUAGCCAGUAUUAAUUAAAUUUUGUUCAUUGUCUUUGAUGCUAUAAUAAAUAUUUAUAUUAACUGUUA